GCGCGAAAACUUUACAAUGCGGGCAACCGUGAUAAGGGAACCUCGAGUGCCUGUACAUGCAGGCUGUCUGGGUGUCUAAAACACACCCAAAGAAAGGGCCGGGCAAGACCGGUGCCAGCCGCCGCGGUAAUACCGGCGGCUCGAGUGGUGGCCACUUUUAUUGGGCUUAAAGCGUUCGUAGCUGGGUUGUUAAGUCUCUUGGGAAAUCCGGCGGCUUAACCGUCGGGCGUCUAARARAUACUGGCAAUCUAGGAACCGGGAGAGGUGAGGGGUACUUCGGGGGUAGGA
rnacentral:rRNA from 1 species